GGGGCCGUAGUCUAGCUUGGUAGGAUGCCGGCCUGGGGCGCCGGUGAGCCCGGGUUCAGGGGAAACCCGCCUAAAAAUCCCGGCGGCCCCA
rnacentral:tRNA from 1 species